AUGGCCGCCGCCGUUGCAUUUCCCCACCUUCUCCUUUUCCUCGUCUUGGUGUCCCCUGUGGCCUGCUACUCUGCUAGUCCAUCUUACCGCUGCGACUGGUGCCCGCGGCGAUCCACCGUCUCCCUCCUCCCUCCGGAGGCCAGUGCCCUCAACGGCGCCGCGUGCGGAUACGGUGACACGGCGGCGGUGGCUGAGCUCACCAACGCGGGGUUCCACAUUGCCGCCGUCAACGCCGGCUUCUUCCGCCAAGGCCAGGCCUGCGGCGCCUGCUACCAGCUGAGGUGCAGGGGCCGGAGCGCGUGCGCCAAGGACGGCGUCAAGGUCGUCAUCGUCGCCGACGUGCCGGAGACGAACAGCACAGGCAGGGGCGGGCGGUUCAUGAUCAACAAGGACGCUUUCGCCGCCUUGACUACUGCUGGUGGCGGUGGCCAGCUCGCGAGCUUGGUAGACGCGGCCGUCGACGUUGACUUCAGGAGGAUACCUUGCGCCUACAAAGGCAAGAACCUCGCCGUGAGGGUGGAGGAGACGAGCAGCAGGGACAAGGGCCACCUCGCCGUCAGGUUCCUCUACCAGGGCGGCCAGACCGACAUCGUCGCCGUCGAGGUGGCGCAGGCGGAAAUUCCUGGUGCCACGACCCAGAGUGCCGCCGCGCCGUCGCCGACAACAUGGCAGUACACGACGCCGCGCGAGGGGUCGCUGGGGGUGUGGCGCACGUCGCGCGCGCCGGCCGGCCCGCUGCGGCUCCGCCUUGUGGUGACCGCCGGCUCCGGCGGCAAGUGGCUUCGAACGGAUGGUGCAGUGCUCCCCGCGGAGUGGCAAGCCGGCGCGGUCUACUACACUGGGCUGCGCGUCACCGACGUCGCUGCAAACACCUGCGGCGGCGCCUCCUGCUCCGCCUCCGGAGACGGCGACGAGGAGGAGAAUAUGCCGAUGGCGACACCGUACCAGGCUGGGGUCGUGAACUAUACGUGCCCGCCAGUCCGGCGCAACCCUCAUCGAUCCACCGACCAUGGCGCGCCUUCUCUCCUCGUCCUCGUCCUCGCGGUGGCCGCCGCCCUCGCCCUAUCGCUGCCCGUGCGCGCUUCUGGGACUCCCUCGUCGUCGUACCGCUGCGGCUGGUGCACGCGCCGAUCCAUCGCCUCCCUCCUCCCUCUCUACGUCGGCGUCCUCACCAGCGCCGCGUGUGGAUACGGUGACCCGGCCAAGCUCGCCGCCGUCGGGGGGUUCCACAUUGCAGCCGUCAGCGCUGGAUUCUUCCGCGGCGGCCGGGCCUGCGGCGCCUGCUACCAGCUGAGGUGCAGGGACCGGAGCGCGUGCGCAGAGGGCGGCGUCAAGGUCAUCAUCUCCGACGUGGCGAAACCGGCGACGGGCACGAACAGGACAGGCGGCAGCCAGUUCCAGCUCACGAAGGACGCGUUCGCCGCCUUGACCGCUUCUCGUGACGAUGGUCAGCUCGGGAGCUUGGUGGACACAGCCGUCGACGUCGACUUCAGGAGGAUACCUUGCGCAUACAAGAGCAAGAACCUGGCGGUGAGGGUGGAUGAGACCAGCAGCAGGGAUAAGGGCCACCUCGCCCUUCGCUUCCUCUACCAGGGCGGCCAGACCAACAUCACCACCGUCGAGGUCGCGCAGGCGGCGACACCUGAUGCCGCGCAGAGUGCUGCCGCACCGUCGCCGACGAAAUGGCAGUACAUGACAUGGCGCGAGGGGUCACCAGGGGUGUGGCGCACGUCGCACGCACCGGCUGGCCCGCUGCAGGUCAGGGUCGUGGUGACCGCGGGCUCCGUCGGCAAGUGGCUGUGCGCCGACGGGGCGGUGCUCCCCGCGGAGUGGCAGCCAGGCACGGUCUACGACACAGGGCUGCGCGUCACCGACGUCGCCGCGCACACAUGCAGUUGCGCCUCCACCUCCGGGGACGACGGCGAAGAGGAGUAG
rnacentral:rRNA from 1 species